rnacentral:lncRNA from 1 species
GCGCGCCUGCGGGUCUCCAUUUCCGAGUUCACCUCCAUUCCAGAGCCAAAUGGAAAGUCACGCUUUUCUGACUUGAGACUUAAGGUUGUAAGAAAGCCAGUUGACCAUCUUCGCCUCCCUCGCGGCUUUCUAAAUGUCGAGAGCCCAGAAGUCCAGCAUGCUGGGGUCUCCCGUUACCAAGAUAGAGCCUGAAGUGAGCCCGCAGGACCAAUUUAAAGCACCUUAGUGGAAUCCUGGGGUGUUUGCCCACAUUGCAUGUGCCAUGUCCAUGCCUGGUGCCUACAGAAGCCAGAAGGGGGCAUUGGAUCUCCUGGAACUGGAGUUACAGUUGUGAGCCACCAUGUGUGUGCUGGGAAUCAAACCUGGGUUCCCUGGAAGAGCAGCCAGUACUCUUAGAUGUUGAACCAUCUCUCCAAGCCCUUUUUAUCUUUUUAAGCUAUAGCGUGUGUGUGUGUGUGUGUGUGUGUGUAAUGUGCAUAUAGGAGUGCCUGAAUACAUACCACAGUGGGGGUGGGGGGUGAGAGGACAGCUUGGUAGAGUCAGUUCUCUCCUUUUAGUUUUAUUCCUGGAUUCCAGGAAUAGAACUCAGGCCCUUAUGCUUACAUAGCAAGCUCUUUUAUCUCAUCUAUCUUGCUGGCCCUGGAUUACUACUUCUUUAUUUUUUAAAUUUAUUUAUUUUAUUUGUAUGACUAGCUAUCUUCAGACACACCAUAGAAGAGGGCAUCAGGUCUCAUUACAGAUGCUUGUGAGCCACCAUGUGGUUGCUGGGAAUUGAACUCAGGACCUCUGAAAGAGCAGUCGGUGCUCUUAACCUCUGAGCCAUCUCUCCAGUCUGGAUUACUUCUCUUACUAGCAGUUUGGCAGGAGAGUUUUCAGUGUGCAGUUGCUAUAGUUUAACAGGCACAACAAUGCUGCCACUUCCCCAUCUGGAGGCCUCAAGUACUGGUGUUCUUAAGCCUUUCCCUCUGGUCUUCCUGUUUAUAGGUUGUAGUGACAAUUUUGGGAUUUUGUUUUCUUUAAAAAAAAAUCACAUAAAUAUUAUACUAAUAUGUUUUCAUUCUUAAUCCCAGGUAUGGGAUGUAGGCCUGCUUCAGGUAUUCACAGCGCCUGACUAUGUUUGCUUCCUGCUCCAGCAGGCGCAUGCAUGAUUUUACCAGCUAUAGAUACUUUCUGAAAUUGGAAUUCUGGGGAGUUUUCAGAGGGUAUAUAAAUGUUAAUGCCCUGAGAAGCAUGGUUGGUGGUUGGUUGGUGUGGGUUGCUGUUGGUUACAGUUUGUUAAGUAGUCAUGUGCGAAGAAGAAACAAGGAGAUGAAGAAAUUAGCUAUCCUGACAUUGAAGAUCAAACUUUCCCUAAGGAGCUUGUCCCCAAUCAGCAGGAACUAGUCUAACAAUAAUGUCACCCCUUUUCCACCUCAUACUUUAUUCAGGGAUCUCUUUCCUUUCCUCUCUAUCGUUUUUUUUUCUUUCUUAUCUAGAGUUAGGAGGCUGAAAAGGUGGAAGAAAAGGGGUGAAAAAGGGCGGAAGAACAAAGAACCUACAAUGUAGCAUAAAAGAGCUACAAGUGCUGCCCAGACAUGGGGCUAGGCAGAGUGGGAAAUUUGAUUUCAAGUGCGGUAGAGAAAAAGGUAGGAGAAGAUGCCAGCAAAAAAUGUACUGAGGCUUCUACUAUUGGGAUAUUUUCUGCUUUGCACCCACAAGGGAUUUUCUGUAUUUGUUGUUUGUUUGUUUCAAAAAAGUUUGAAAGACUGGCUGAGUUGUGAACAAAGCUAUAUCAGACCUGAUGCAAGGCAGAUGUUGAUAGAGAUCUUGGCAUAUAAAAAUUUGUAUAUCAGUGUAAAAACCAUCAAAGUCAAGAGCAGUACCUAUGGACACGUAUAUAAGGGAUAUGGCCGAUACUGGUUCUAACAUGAACCAUACUAAUAUCAUAGGUCCAGCUAUAGCUAGAGGUCUGAUAUCAAAAUAUCCAGUGCUUCAAUUGUAGGAAAUACGGUCUUUGCAAAGAGACUAUGACCAAGCUGCUAAGAUCUCAGACCUCAAAAUGCUUGGUGCUUUAAUUGUGGAAAAUUUGGUCAUUUGCAACAAAAUUGUGAACAAGGCAUCUCUAAGGCCAAUGGGUUUUCUAAAUAUAAAACAGAAAGAAGGCUUAGGCUUCCAGGGGUGUGCAGGUGAUGUGGCAGGGUUGCCAUUAGACCAAUAAGGAUAGGUCUGAGAGAGAUAUCUAAGGCAAUUUCUUACCAUCAGGAAACAGCAUUGGGGGCCUAACUAGAGACCCCCACAGCAAAAAGUACAAGUUUUUGCCUCUUGUCAGCCAAGAAAUAACAAGCAGAAAAUCCUCAACUAAGUAUCACAAGUCUAAUGCAUGCUACUGCAGACAGUGCUGCUCUAGACUUGGCUAUAGAUAAACAUCUUACACUGUCCCCAAAAGUUCAUUGUUAUAAAAUUACUACUGGGGUUUAUGGUCCUUCACCCUCAGGGACAACAGGGAUGAUCCUGGGAAGGAGUGGGUUGACUUCCUAAGGAUUCAUUGUGUAUUCAGGAAUUACAGAUGAAGAUUUCAAAGGAGAAGUUAAAUUCUGGCCUAUGUACAAAGAGAGAUGUGACUGAACCCAGGUGAGAGGGUUGCUCAGCUGCUAUUGUUUCCCUACAUCAAAGGCAAACCUUCUCCAUGAGAAAGAACAGGAGUGUUUGCAAGUACUGGAAAAUGUGUGUUUUGACAAACGGUAGUUAAUCAUCAGAGGCCAAAAUUAAAAUUGCAAGUAAAUGGUGUAGAAAUAGAAGGUUUGGUGGGUACAGGAACUGACAUAACACAUUUCACAAAAAUCCUGGGAUUCAAAAUGGCCACUUCAAAAGUAAAUGCACAGUUUCUAGAUAUUAGAAAUUUAUCUCAGAUAAAACAAAAUGUACAAUGGCUUAAAUGUGAGACUGAAAGGCCAAACAUAUUUGUUAAAGCCUACAUGGCCAUCAAACCCAUAAAUUUAGGGGAAAGGGAUCUUUCUGAGUGGGUGCUCAGAUUACCAUCCCUGUAAUCCCAGACACAGCCCAUGGUGAAAUAAGGGGUGAAAUGGUAGAUGUUCCUGGAAAAGGUAUUGCUGUAUGUCAUGAAAACCAACCCUAGCCUGUGCCAAUUGUCCCAACACAGGAAAGAACAGGGAUUGAGUUUCCAAAUUUAUAAGGGGGGUCUAUUGACAAAGUAUCAACAGCCCUACCCUUAAAAUGGUUGACUGAUAACCCUGUGCAGGUACAUCAGUGGCCUUUGACUAAGAAGAAAAUUACAGGCACUUGAGUAACUUCAACAUAUAAAUGAGUCUACCAGCCCAUGGAAUUUCCCUGUAUUUUUUAUUAAAAAAAAUGUGGGCUGGUGAGAUGGCUCAGUGGGUAAGAGUACCCGACUGCUCUUCCGAAGGUCAGGAGUUCAAAUCCCAGCAACCACAUGGUGGCUCACAACCAUCCGUAACGAGAUCUGACUCCCUCUUCUGGAGUGUCUGAGGACAGCUACAGUGUACUUACAUAUAAUAAAUAAAUAAAUAAAUAAAUAUGAAUUGGGAAAA